CUUUAGCCCUCGCUGGGUCAGGGCCGAGCACUCCAGGUACUUCACAGCACCUGCGGCAGAAACACAACCUUCAAUAUGAUAAACAUUCUCAACAGCGUGUGUGGUGAAUACGACACUAGGAUCAACUCCUGACACACUGGUCUUGCAUAAAUCAGCCAUUUACUGUUUCUGGCAGGCUCUGAGAAAACAUUCACUCGGAGGAGACUUGCAGCAUGCAGACCAACACCACAAAGAGCCCUUCUCAAGGAAAGGCCAUUUUGUUUUCUGAACAUCUUUCCCCGGCUGCCGCUCCUCCCCCACGUCCCCGGCUCAUGCUGGACCGCCACCGGUAAGACAAUUGGCAUCUUUGUGCCGCCCACUCCACUCAGCAACUCCAACAUAUGACAGCAUAACCAGCGUCCCACUCACUUACCCCAGCUCAAUAACUCAUUAUAGAAACAUGCCUACGGUAAUGGAAGUACAGUUUCCCCGCUGUCAUACAUAAAUCAAGCGAGUGUGCCGUUCUCUCUACGCACCGAUCUCUCGGGCCAUGGCCAGGCCCUGUGGGUAGGUGAUGGGCGACAGCUUUUUGUCCCGCAGCCUCUCUAUGGUGUCCUUAUCAUCUCGCAGGUCCAGUUUGGUGCCCACCAGGAUGAUGGGUGUGUUGGGGCAGUGGUGUCGCACCUCAGGGUACCACUGGAGCAUAGGGAAAUAGUCUUAUAUUACAUUAUAGUAUGUAAAGAUUCACUGUUCUGCCUGAAUUCAACAACAACCACGAAAUAAGUUGCACCAACCUUAGCACGGACGUUCUCAAAGGAUGCUGGGCUCACCAAAGAGAAGCAUAUUAAAAACACAUCCUGUAGAGAAAACAUAGGGGGAAAUCAUUCGACGAGCUGUUUUUGUUCUCUAAUUUAAUUAUUUAACCUCUUCCUGUUGUUCUGCAGACAUUCAUGAGACUAUUAUAAGAAUUUGAUGGCACAAAAGAGAUGUCAUUAUUUUACAGCCAUGUUGAUAUAUAAUCAUAAAACUUUGGUCAUAUUUCUGUAGCUGUACAAACAAGCACAGCAAACCUGGAUUUUUUUUUAAAUAGCAUUUUUUUCAGAAAAUUUGCAAUUACAUUUUUCCCCUCAAAAUUGUGAGCCCUAUACUCUACCUUUCAGGUUUUUAAGAUUUCUUUGAAUGUUUUUGACUCUUUUGCUCACCAAGGCUGCAUUUAUUUGAUCAAAAAUACAAUAAAAACAGUAAUAUUGUUAAAUAUUAUUACAAUCUAAAAUAAAUAUUUUAAAUUUGAAUAUAGAAUAUAGAUUAAUAUAGAAUAUUUGAAUAUAGAUGUCAAAAUGUAAGUUUCAUGAAACAAGGUCCCCGUUUCUAAAAUAUUUAGAAAAAUUACACCACCUGUAGAGUUAUCUAUAUACAAAGAUUAAUCUAUAUUCAGUGAUUUAUACAGUGAACACAACAGUGUAGACCUUACUUUAUUUAUUACUUUGUUAUAUUGUAUAUCUAUGCUUGUAAUCAGUGUAUUUAAACUUUUUUUUUUUUACUGACUGUUAAUUUGCGUUAAAUAAUAUUUGAACUUUAUCAUUUAAGCUAGUAAUUCUUGCUGUGGUAUGAAGUACUUCAAGUGGGAUUUAAGUAAUAAAUGGAAAGCAACAUUACAUUUGCCACAUGCAACUUUGGCAAAUGUAAGUGUACAUUUUAUUUAUUUUUUUACCCGUAACCCUAACCACCAGUUGCCCAAAGUUGCAUUCACUUUUCUGAUAAGAACUUUUGAACCGUAA